rnacentral:rRNA from 1 species
GAUGAACGCUGGCGGCGUGCCUAAUACAUGCAAGUCGAACGGACAGGCCCUGCUCUUGUUCCGUGCUCGUGAGGGGAACGCGUGAGUAUAACGCGUGUAACCCCUCCCUGUAAUUGGGAUAUAACUUCGGAACUGCGGCUCUUAUCCGGUAGGAGCUCUUGCUCCGCGGUGGGGGUUGGAAAGUUUCGGUGGUUGGGGCUGGACUCGAUGCAUAUCCGCUGCUUGGUGUGGUAGGGGAUUACCAAGGCUUCGACGGGUAGCCGGCCUGAGAGGGUGACCGGCCACAUUGGGACUGAGAUACGGCCCAGACUCCUACGGGAGGCAGCAGUGGGGAGUAUUGCACAAUGGGCGGAAGCCUGAUGCAGCAACGCCGCGUGCGGGAUGACGGCCUUCGGGUUGUAAACCGCUUUCGCCUGUGACGAGGCGUGAGUGACGGUAAUGGGUAAAGAAGCACCGGCUAACUACGUG